rnacentral:tRNA from 1 species
GCCCCCGUAGCUCAAUGGAUCAGAGCUCCUCACUCCUAACGAGAAGAUGGAGGUUCGAUUCCUCUCGGGGGUA